AUGCAAAGAACUUUGAAAAAAGAGUUAAAGAGUACCUGAAAUUGCUGAAAUGGAAGCAAAGGAAACCAGUGCCGUUCUGUACCAUUCUUCUGUUCUUGCUUGCGAGAAUAGCGCUGUGGUUCAGUACAAGCCAGCGUGGGUUCGAUUCGGAGGAAGCAGCUUUGCAGGAGGCAGCAUAAUUUCUAUGCGAUUACUGUUUAGUUUUGCUCCGGAUUGGACUGAGGCUAGUCACUUGUGCUCGUGACGCUGGCGAAAUGGUUUUCUUUACCCCGUCUUGAAACACGGACCAAGGAGUCUAACAUAUGUGCGAGUAUAUGAGUGACAAACUCACGUGCGAAAUGAAAGUAACAGUGGUUGGACCUUCUGGGGCACAAUCCGCCGGCCACAAUCCUUCGGGAGAUAGGUCUGAGUGUGAGCAUACAUGUUGGGACCCGAAAGAUGGUGAACUAUGCCUGAAUAGGGUGAAGCCGCGGGAAACCACGGUGGAGGCUCGUAGCGGUUCUGACGUGCAAAUCGAUCGUCAAAUUUGGGUAUAGGGGCGAAAGACUAAUCGAACCAUCUAGUAGCUGGUUCCCUCCGAAAUUUCCCUCAGGAUAGCUGCAAUCGAAUGUCAAUUUUAUCA
rnacentral:rRNA from 1 species